AGCGAAACAGCGAGGUCAAGCAAAUCCCAUAAAGUUGUUCUCAGUUCGGAUUGUAGUCUGCAACUCGACUACAUGAAGCUGGAAUCGCUAGUAAUCGUAGAUCAGCAUGCUACGGUGAAUACGUUCCCGGGUCUUGUACACACCGCCCGUCACACCACGAGAGUUUGUAACACCCGAAGCCGGUGGAGUAACCUUUUAGGAGCUAGCCGUC
rnacentral:rRNA from 1 species